rnacentral:lncRNA from 1 species
GCAGUUAAAAGGAGUCUGCAUAGACAGAGGGCACAAAUGUGAGUUGAUUAUGUUGGUAUCAUAUUGUGAAGAUUAAAUUAAUUCCCCUGCCCAUUUUUAGAUUUAAUCACCAAAAGUGUAAACAUUCUACUUAAUCUUUAAGUGGGGGAGGUCUGUGACCCACAUGUGCAAUAAUGGGUGAUAAAUCAGAAUCAAACUGACUGCCCCUUGGGCAGUCCUAAACAAAGCUUCAACUGUAAUUGGUAGACAUAAAAUUGGAGGAGGGCACAGGAAGUGAUGUAAUAGAAAGUGUCUUUAAAAGGGAGUUACAGCUUCCUGUGGGAAUUUCUUCUUUGAAGAGUUCUUCAAGAGUUCUUCAGGCUUGGGACUUCUAACUUUUUCUGGGAGUUCUGGAGUUCUUCAUGCUUGGGACUUCUGACUGCUCUCAUUCUUUGGAGUUCUGAGUUCCAGUUGGAGGCUGGUGAAGAAUCUGUUGACUGGACCUGAGACCCUAUACCUGAGAAACAGCUGUGGAACAUAAAGAAUUCUUCAAGUCAGUUCAAGAAGUAUUUAACUGUUUCCAGCUCCAGGUUAUUUCCAGAGUUCUAUGGAACAGAGGUAAGGAGAGACUGACUAUGUGUGGGGCCACCAGUGCAAAAGCAUGGAGAUAAUGAAUGGAGUUCCAAGUAUGAAGAAAGAAGGCCAGUCAGAGUCUCAGAAUUAUGAGAGGUGUUUGGAUCUAGGAAAGUCUGUGCUUAGAAGAAGUCUCACAUCCAUUUUGGGCCCAGUUCCUUGGCAUAGUGAGAAGAAACCAUAAUAGAUCCUGAGUUGAAGGUAUUGGGGUGGGAGUAGCAUUUAUUUGGGGGCCAUGAUCAAAGAUCUUUGAGAACAGAAUUUUUAAAAAAUCUUUUUUAUCUCUAGUAUCUAGUACAGUGCUUGGCAUACAAUUUAACAAAUGCUUUUUGAAUUUGAUUGGCUCAGAAAUAGGGAAUUUAGUUCCUAUUCUACAUAUAGGCUCUCUUUCGGGUGUAUAUAUGAGUAAAACCCAGCUUCCAGGUACCCAGUCACCAACUAAUUUUCCUCCAUCUCAUAGAUCUAAAAGCUCUUGUUGCCUCUACUAGUCAUGGGUGCACAUGAAAGCUAUCAGCCAG